rnacentral:rRNA from 1 species
GUCUGCGGCCAUGCUACCCUGAACAAGCCCAAUCCCGUCUGAUCUCAGAAGCUAAGCAGGGUCGGGCCUGGGUAGUACUUGGAUGGGAGACCACCUAGGAAGACCAGGAACUGUAGGUG